UAGACGUGGGCGCAGCCUGACCGCCUGCCGCGUGAGUGAAGAAGGCCUUCGGGUUGUAAAGCUCUUUCGGUGGGGACGAAACGGUUCGUGCUAAUACCACGGACUAAUGACGGUACCCGAAGAAGAAGCACCGGCUAACUACGUGCCAGCAGCCGCGGUAAUACGUAGGGUGCAGGCGUUAAUCGGAAUUACUGGGCGUAAAGCGUGCGCAGGCGGUUUGUUAAGACAGAUGUGAAAUCCCCGGGCUUGACCUGGGAACUGCGUUUGUAACUGGCAAGCUAGAGUGUGGCAGAGGGGGGUGGAAUUCCAAGUGUAGCAGUGAAAUGCGUAGAUAUUUGGAGGAACACCGAUGGCGAAGGCAGCCCCCUGGGCUAACACUGACGCUCAUGCACGAAA
rnacentral:rRNA from 1 species